rnacentral:rRNA from 1 species
CGGAAAGUGCGGCGUGCUAUACAUGCAAGUCGAGCGGAUUGAUGGGAGCUUGCUCCCUGAUAUCAGCGGCGGACGGGUGAGUAACACGUGGGUAACCUGCCUGUAAGACUGGGAUAACUCCGGGAAACCGGGGCUAAUACCGGAUAACUCAUUUCCUCGCAUGAGGAAAUGUUGAAAGGUGGCUUUUACCUACCACUUACAGAUGGACCCGCGGCGCAUUACCUAGUUGGUGAGGUAACGGCUCACCAAGGCAACGAUGCGUACCCAACCUGAGAGGGUGAUCGGCCACACUGGGACUGAAACACGGCCCAAACUCCUACGGGAGGCAGCAGUAGGGAAUCUUCCGCAAUGGACGAAAGUCUGACGGAGCAACGCCGCGUGAGUGAUGAAGGUUUUCGGAUCGUAAAGCUCUGUUGUUAGGGAAGAACAAGUGCCGUUCGAAUAGGGCGGCACCUUGACGGUACCUAACCAGAAAGCCACGGCUAACUACGUGCCAGCAGCCGCGGUAAUACGUAGGUGGCAAGCGUUGUCCGGAAUUAUUGGGCGUAAAGCGCGCGCAGGUGGUUCCUUAAGUCUGAUGUGAAAGCCCACGGCUCAACCGUGGAGGGUCAUUGGAAACUGGGGAACUUGAGUGCAGAAAAGGAAAGUGGAAUUCCAAGUGUACCGGUGAAAUGCGUAAAUAUUUGGAGGAACACCAGUGGCGAAGGCGACUUUCUGGUCUGUAACUGACACUGAGGCGCGAAAGCGUGG